ACUUAAAUUGAAGAGUUUGAUCAUGGCUCAGAUUGAACGCUGGCGGCAGGCCUAACACAUGCAAGUCGAGCGGUAGCACAGAGAGCUUGCUCUCGGGUGACGAGCGGCGGACGGGUGAGUAAUGUCUGGGAAACUGCCUGAUGGAGGG
rnacentral:rRNA from 1 species